UACGGGGGGGGCAAGCGUUGUUCGGAAUUACUGGGCGUAAAGGGCGCGUAGGCGGUGCUCUAAGUCGGAUGUGAAAACUCUGGGCUCAACCCAGAGCCUGCAUCCGAAACUGGAGUGCUAGAGUUCUGGAGGGGGUAGCGGAAUUCCUGGUGUAGCGGUGAAAUGCGUAGAUAUCAGGAGGAACACCGGUGGCGAAAGCGCGAUACUGGGCCAUAACUGACGCUGAGGAACGAAAGCCAGGGGAGCGAAAGGG
rnacentral:rRNA from 1 species